rnacentral:rRNA from 1 species
UACGUAGGGCGCAAGCGUUGUCCGGAUUUAUUGGGCGUAAAGAGCUCGUAGGCGGUUCAGCACGUCGGGUGUGAAAACUCUGGGCUCAACCCAGAGACGCCACUCGAUACUGCUGUGACUAGAGUCUGGUAGGGGAUCGCGGAAUUCCAGGUGUAGCGGUGAAAUGCACAGAUAUCUGGAGGAACACCAGCAGCGAAGGCGGCGAUCUGGGCCAGUACUGACGCUGAGGAGCGAAAGCGUGGGGAGCGAACAGG